GGGUGCCUAACAAUGCAAGUCGAGCGGUAACAGGUGUAGCAAUACAUGCUGACGAGCGGCGAACGGGUGAGUAAUGCUUCGGAAUCUGCCCAAUGGUGGGGAAUAACCAGCCGAAAGGUUGGCUAAUACCGCAUAAGUCCUACGGGGGAAAGCAGGGGAUCGCAAGACCUUGCGCCGAUGGAUGAGCCGAAGUCGGAUUAGCUAGUUGGUAGGGUAACGGCCUACCAAGGCGACGAUCCGUAGCUGGUCUGAGAGGACGACCAGCCACACUGGGACUGAGACACGGCCCAGACUCCUACGGGAGGCAGCAGUGGGGAAUAUUGGACAAUGGGGGAAACCCUGAUCCAGCGACGCCGCGUGUGUGAAGAAGGCCUGCGGGUUGUAAAGCACUUUUAGUGGGGAUGAAAAGCUCAGGGCUAACACCUCUGGGUCUUGACCUAACCCACAGAAAAAGCACCGGCUAACUCUGUGCCAGCAGCCGCGGUAAUACAGAGGGUGCGA
rnacentral:rRNA from 1 species